UUUAUUGAUGAUUAUUUUCGUUGCACAUGAUGAUAUCUUUGAGACUUGUGUGCAAUGACUUAAUGAGUUAGGUUUUCACAGUGUUUACUAUUUUGGAUAUUUAGUGAAGAUCCUGAUGCACCGAGUCUUGCCUAGUGGUUUGGAGGCUUUUUUGAGAUUGUUUAGGACUUGAAACAUAAAAUAAGGUUUUGUGAUGGCUUAUAUGGUGGUUUGGAUCGAGUGGUUCAGACACUUAAAGUAAAUCAAGUGUCGGGAACUGCCACCAGGCCGAGUCAGACAGUUUGCUGACAUGACAUGCUUUUUACAAGAUAAGGGAUGUCUAUUUUAUGCAAGAUGAGUUGGAGAAACAUGCGGGAUUUUAUAUGUAUUAGCGGUUUUUUUUAAUGUUCGUGAUUUUAGGUGUUCAUUUAAUUUGUUUAAAUUACCAUUUGCAAACUAAAUGAAUGAUUAAAGAAAUUCUUUUGUGAUCAUAAAUUGAUUUAAGAAUUCCGGUUGUUUGAAUAAUUUAUAUGUGAAAAUAAUUGGCGUGAUUGGGUAUAGCUCAGUACUACAUAAUGAGCUUUUGGUAACAGAUGGUCAGCAACAGUAGAAAAACUGUUGCCGAUGAUUAAACCUCUACUAGAACUGCUGCAAUUCUACAAAAAAAUUUGCAGUAGAUUGGCAAAACUGCUGCAUUAAACAAGAAAUGGCUGCAGUUUAAAAGUUUUACUUAAUCCAAUGGUGCCCUUGUUUAAGAAUGUGCAAAAUCCCCCUCCUUUUUAUCAGUUUGGCGCUUAAGAGCUCUUACUCUCUCCCUCUUUCUGGUUCUCUCUAAUAUCUCAUGUAAAACCCUUCACUCUCACUUACCUGUCCUUCUUUCUUACUUUAGCUCUCCCUCUCAAUCUCUCUCAAAUUGUAAUCGGCGAGUAUGUUCGGGCAAAUCUGCUUUCAUGUCUGCAUUUUCACAUAGAUUUUGUGCAACAAUGUCCACUCCCUCCCAUAUCUUUAUCUUCAAUCCGUCUCAUAACAAACCUAGCAGUUCUAGGCUACAGAUGCACCAGUUCACAUUCGUUGAUAGCGCAUCAUGCCAUCGCCGAUUGCCUCUUGUCCGCUUUGCCACCAUCGCCACCUCUCACCAUGGGAUUUCUUUCGUCGCUAUCACCAGAGUUUCUAGAACUACUUGCAUGGAGAUUUCUUCGAAUUUGCAUUCAUAUGAACGGGAGACCACAACUUUGAUAGAGAACCCUCGAGUUGGGGUUGAAUUUGAAGUGAAUAUUAUCAUACGUUUGUAGGAAAUAUACGACGUCAAUGUUUGGGUCGAAACAGAGUCUCAUUUGAAGGAGGUAGCUGAUGCAUUGAGUAAAGAGAGGGUUUUUGCUGUUGGUACUGAGCAGCAUAGUUUCAUUUGUAUGGUGAGGACCGUGAGGUUUGAUGUGGGUAACUUGUUCCCACUCUAUUAUUACUGCUCUUUCCAAAUUCUGUUCAAUUUUUCUGUUUUUAUAGUGUGAAGCUUUAAUCUGAUUAGGUUUCAUGUCCAUUAGAUCAUAAGCCCGAGGAGAAAAUUACAGGAAAUGCAUUAUUUUGAUGGCAAGGGUUUGCGGAAUUACUGUUCAUCACUUGCCUCUGUUGGGCACUAAAAUUAGUAAAAAUGGAAUUAUCAAACGAUUUUCUAAUACUUUUGUGUAAUGAGUGAUGUGGAUGAUCCUCAUGUGUUCAUGGACCUUUUUGUGUUAAAAUGGGACCCUAGUACUGUCAACUUAAUAUUGGCAAAGUUGGUUAUUUCGAAGUACAGGUGUGUACAAGUAGAAUCACAUCCCACUUCUAAAUAAAAUUCUUUUAACCAAUUCAAAAUCAUAAUUGAUUAUAGUUUAUUUUAUUUCUUGAACUGUUUAAUUUCCUUCUUUCUUAAUGUUUUGGGUGUGGAUUAAGGCAUCACUUAAAGAAGUGGAGAGGAUGCUCCAAGAACAAUGGUGUGUUCCAUUUGAAUGAACAUAUUAUUUACUGCAAACGGUUUAUAUAACAUAAGAAGUAUGAAUUUUUUAUUUCCAACAAUGCGUCCUUAUCUACCGACUGGUGGGGUCACAAGUAAUUUCAGUUGCAUCUACUGAAUCUGGAUUGGUUUAUGGCAUUUAAUACCCUUUCAUCUCUCUCUAUCACUCUACUGGUCUGGAUUUAUAGUUCAGUAGAAGAGUACAUUGCCUCGUGAUACUAAGAUUGGUUUAUUAACUUGUUAAUCUUCACAGGUCCUCUUCUUUUCAAGGUAUAUUGUUAAAGCAGAGUCUUGAUUCCGAAGUUGUAGAUGCUGAUGCUCUCAAGGAUCUAAGGAAUAAGCUAGCUAAGAAUGAGUAAAAAAAAUAGGUUAUACUAAUUUUGUUUUAGAAUUUAGAACUUAGAACAUACCCUUUACCUUGGACAAUACUCCUUGUUCACUUUGGCCUGAUAUUAUUGUUGAUAAUAUUGUAUAGGACAUUCAGUGUUACUGUCAAGAAGUUUCUAAUCACCAUAGAACAUUUAUUAAUGCUAGCACUAUUUCAGGAUUAUUGUUAUUAUUUCGGUUUUGUACCACCUAAAUUGCUGCUGCUUGUGCUUUGUGAUCAGUUUACUCUUCCAAUCCUUUCAAGGCUCAACACAAUAUAUUUCAGAUUUUAACUUUUGCCUUUGUUGUCUGGUGCUUCUACAGGCAUUUAUUCAGAAUGUUGCAUUGUUUUUCACUUCAUUUUAUAAGGCAAGUUUCCUUCCUGAUUUGGUUACUUCUUUUAAUUCAAAAUUGACAGACAUAGACUUAUGGAUUGUGGGCAUUUUUCCGCUUUAUCAGAGAGAUUAGUUUCUGGUUUUGGAUUGUUGUGCUCAUUCUUUAAUCUUUGCUAAAGUCUGUUGAUAUUUUGUCCAAGUUUCAACAUAUAUAUGAUUGUUAUCACCACCCUGUGCCGCUUACAGGACUUGUAUUGAACCUUUCUUGGUUUCUUAGCUCUUAGUUUAUUUAAUCUUCAACUUCAAAGUAAUCUGGAAAACUGAAAUGUAAACUUUUGGCUUUUUCUCUGGAGUCGAUAGAUAAUCGUUUGUAUUUUGAUCU